AUGAUUCGACUCAUAUGGUG
rnacentral:miRNA from 1 species